rnacentral:rRNA from 1 species
UACGAAGGGGGCUAGCGUUGCUCGGAAUCACUGGGCGUAAAGGGUGCGUAGGCGGGUCUUUAAGUCAGGGGUGAAAUCCUGGAGCUCAACUCCAGAACUGCCUUUGAUACUGAGGAUCUUGAGUUCGGGAGAGGUGAGUGGAACUGCGAGUGUAGAGGUGAAAUUCGUAGAUAUUCGCAAGAACACCAGUGGCGAAGGCGGCUACCUGGACCAGCACUGACACUGAAGCACGAAAGCGUGGGGAGCAAACAGG